rnacentral:lncRNA from 1 species
CUGGAAUUCCAAUUCUAAGAGAGUGAUGGUGACGUUGGCUAAUGAGGUAGAGAUGGGUGAUUUUCCAAACGCUGCAUCCAAAUUAUAUUCUUUAGAGAAUGUGUGGUGAUUAAUUGAAAGAAAAGCACAUUCCAUUUUUUAAUGAAACACACACGCUCCUUCACCUGGGCUUCAUUAAGGGGCGACGUCUAGCAAGGCA